rnacentral:lncRNA from 1 species
UGUGCAGAGGAACCAAAGAUGGAUACCACAUGUGGCUUUGGGGAGGACUAGUGUAAAGUCAACCAAUGUCCAAGGCAUGGCCUUGGGAGAAAGAGGACCACUACUGCUACUCACUGACCAAGUAGUCCUCUGGAGUGGACCAGGAUCUUCUAGCCUUCAAAAACCCUUUAUAACCCCCAAACAGCACCUUCAUCCUGUCAUCCAGGCUCAAGACCUGGGUAAUGAUGUGGGAGAGAGCAUUCCCCAGUGCUGACGUGGGUUUCCCUGCGCCACAGAACCAGAGAUGGGGUAAUUGAAGCUCAUGCUCCGAACAGUUAUAGCAAAGG